UGCUGCAGGGGAAGCGCUGCGCCCUAGGGCCAGCCUGAUAGCGCUGCGUGGGCCUCGCACACAGACCCAGCCCUCGCCUGCGCUUAAACAUUAGGUCGGCCUCGUGUCGACCCAGUCCCUGUUGUGGCUGCAGCGAAAUUGAGGGGACGAUUCUUCCCUGUCCUAACUAGUGCCUCCCAGGCUAUGGGUUACCUGCGGCAGUGGCUCUCAAACGGCUGUGCUGGUGACCCCUUUCACAUAGAAAGCCUCAGAGUGCAACCCCCCCUUAGUCAUUAAAAGCACUUUUACAUCGAUUUAACACCAUUAUAAAUGCUGGAGGCAAAGCGGGGUUUAGGGUGGAGGUUGACAGCUCGUGACCCCCCCCCCUCACGUAAUAACCUUGUGACCCCCUGAGGCCUCCCGACCACCAGUUUGAGAACCACUGCCCUACAGGGAUGGGAAAACCCCUUCUGGCGCUGUAGGAAAGGAUGGCAGCACAGCUGGUGGGCCAGAGCUGUGCACUGGAGCGGCUGCAGUGCAGUUACACCUGGAUGUGAGGAAAAGCCCUCAUCUACACCCCGUUUUGGUGUAGUACAGACACUUACUAGAGCCACAGAAGGGGUUCUUUUGUUGCUGCAGUAAAUCCACCGCUCUGAAGGCUGGUCUGCACUAACACGGUACAGUGGAACCUCAGAGUUAUGGACGCCUCAGGAAUGGAGGUUGUCCAUAACUCUGAACAAGAGGUUAUGGACGUCAGCCCACGGGAAGGAGAACGGACUCCGGGUCGGGGUACCAGAUGAUUUUCCCAGAGAGAAGAGUAUACAGUACAAACCUAUUUAUAAAGUGUACAUGUUUGGAUAAAGCACUAGCUCUGCUGUACAGUGCUUCUGCAUCAGUGGAUGUCAGAGCCUGUCUCAGUUUCACAAGAGGAACACUUUGUAGCUCUUCAACCAUGUUGACAUUACAAUCUUGUACCAUAGUGGGAAAGAUGAAAGCUGACCUGGAGCAAGACUGAUAAUGGCAAGACUGGAUCCAAAAAGCUACAAACAUACGGAUAAAAACAGUUUAAAUUGUGGAGGUCCCCUUAUGGAGAUUCCUGGUGAAUUCAUGA